rnacentral:rRNA from 1 species
AGGGAAAGCUGGGGGUAGGCCUAACACAUGCAAGUCGAACGGCAGCACAGUAAGAGCUUGCUCUUACGGGUGGCGAGUGGCGGACGGGUGAGGAAUACAUCGGAAUCUACUUUUUCGUGGGGGAUAACGUAGGGAAACUUACGCUAAUACCGCAUACGACCUACGGGUGAAAGCAGGGGAUCUUCGGACCUUGCGCGAUUGAAUGAGCCGAUGUCGGAUUAGCUAGUUGGCGGGGUAAAGGCCCACCAAGGCGACGAUCCGUAGCUGGUCUGAGAGGAUGAUCAGCCACACUGGAACUGAGACACGGUCCAGACUCCUACGGGAGGCAGCAGUGGGGAAUAUUGGACAAUGGGCGCAAGCCUGAUCCAGCCAUACCGCGUGGGUGAAGAAGGCCUUCGGGUUGUAAAGCCCUUUUGUUGGGAAAGAAAAGCAGCAGGUUAAUACCCCGCUGUUCUGACGGUACCCAAAGAAUAAGCACCGGCUAACUUCGUG